UGGGCCUACGGGGGGCAGCAGUGGGGGAUAUUGCACAAUGGAGGAAACUCUGAUGCAGCGACGCCGCGUGAGGGAAGACGGUCUUCGGAUUGUAAACCUCUGUCUUUGGGGAAGAAAAUGACGGUACCCAAAGAGGAAGCUCCGGCUAACUACGUGCCAGCAGCCGCGGUAAUACGUAGGUGGCAAGCGUUGUCCGGAUUUACUGGGUGUAAAGGGCGUGCAGCCGGAGAGACAAGUCAGAUGUGAAAUCCACGGGCUCAACCCGUGAACUGCCUUUGAAACUGUUUCCCUUGAGUGUC
rnacentral:rRNA from 1 species